rnacentral:tRNA from 1 species
GCGGGAUUAGUUUAAUGGUAGAACAUCAGUUUUCCAAACUGAGAGCGCCGGUCCGAUUCCGGCAUCCCGCACCA